AGUGAACGCUGGCGGUAGGCCUAACACAUGCAAGUCGAACGGCAGCACAGUAAGAGCUUGCUCUUACGGGUGGCGAGUGGCGGACGGGUGAGGAAUACAUCGGAAUCUACUUUUUCGUGGGGGAUAACGUAGGGAAACUUACGCUAAUACCGCAUACGACCUACGGGUGAAAGCAGGGGAUCUUCGGACCUUGCGCGAUUGAAUGAGCCGAUGUCGGAUUAGCUAGUUGGCGGGGUAAAGGCCCACCAAGGCGACGAUCCGUAGCUGGUCUGAGAGGAUGAUCAGCCACACUGGAACUGAGACACGGUCCAGACUCCUACGGAAGGCAGCAGUGGGGAAUAUUGGACAAUGGGCGCAAGCCUGAUCCAGCCAUACCGCGUGGGUGAAGAAGGCCUUCGGGUUGUAAAGCCCUUUGUUGGGAAAGAAAAGCAGCAGGUUAAUACCCCGCUGUUCUGACGGUACCCAAAGAAUAAGCACCGGCUAACUUCGUG
rnacentral:rRNA from 1 species